UCAUCGGUUCCACUCACGCCAAGAGAACGAAACGCAUGCCGUGGUUGGGGAAGAAGUUCGUCUUCCAAGUGCAUCGUUCUUCUUCUCUCAUUGCCUCUAUCAUACUCCCCUGCAGCAUAAGCCUUCGAGAGCUGCCGGAUUUCUGUGUUGCUGCCAACCUGAAUCCCUAUUUUGCCACCGUCGUCGGCUCUGCUGGCCCAAAUCCCGCGCCCAGGCGUCGACCCGGACACCCGUUGAACCAGAUGUGCUGCCGCCGGGCGCCGGCGUCCUCCUUCAAUGUCACGUGGAUAAGAGGACCAGAGGAUCAGAGUAGUCCAGUUCAUUUUCAGGUGCGUUGUUUUUUUCUGGCAGUAUUAUAACAUGCCAUGCUCCAACCACGAGUUCCUACAUCCCAGACCUUAAAAAUCUUCUGAACAUGUAUGUGUGCGGCAUAACUGCAGAUCUUCAUAACACCUUAAUUCAAGUCUGUAAGGCUAAUCGAGCCCAUAAUAGUAGAAUGUGGACAUCAAUUUUAAGCAGAUUGGAUUGUCGUCGUCCUUGAUGCAGCCACCCAUUGGAGGCACUGCAGUUGACUGGUGACGCAAUACUUUGCAAUCCUGGACACUGUUCGAGUUUGUUGCCAGCCGAACUCAGGCAGGUAAUCCCAAACAUUAACUAACAUUUUUUUUAGAAAAGGAGGAUGACCCCAGCCUCUGCAUCUGGGCGAUGCUUACGGCCACUUUAUUAAUUAUUCUCACAAGACCUUACAAAGUAAUACAACAGUAAGACUAAAGCCGCCGUCUAAUCAUCUCUAUCCAGCUGAUGAAGGGGCGCAGAUAGCCUGGGCCUAAUACCAAACAGACAUCGCUGCCAAACCUAACAUCUAAGACCUGAGAACCCAUCCAGGACGCCUGCCGGGCAUGGGUCUCACCGGUCCGGCGUGCACUCAGAUGCCGCCGCCGCCAACUGCCACCGCUCCAUCUUCAGAACUGUCCUGAUGCAUCAACCUUGCUCGGUCUAGCUAACGUCGACGCCACCACGGCGCCAAACGGCACCUCCUCCCUGCGCGCAAACAGCUGAGCACGUCGCGGUCGCCACUGAUACACCUCAGCGCCAUGCUGCCAGGUAUCACCAGCCGACACAGCUUGAAGUCCUUGGAAGAUCUGUCGUGCGUAGCACCUGCCGACCAGGCAUGACAAGGCGUAGCACCUGUCGGUCAGGCAUGACUUGACAUCACCACCGAAGCUCCGUGCAAGACGAAGCCGCUCCACCUCCUGCCUCUGACUCCAGCGCUGCUCCGCAAACGAUGCUCUCAAGAGAGAAACGACACCGCAGUGCCGCCAUCGUCCGAUCUGGAACACCAGAUCCUAGGGUUUCCCCCGGAGCAGCACGAGUGGGUCGACAAUAGUUACACGACGAUGCCUUCAUCAAGGUAACGGCGAGAACGCCGCCAUCGCCUGCCGUCAGCUCGGUUUUCACCGGCAACCAUGUCUCCCCUACUCGCAGCCGGGACAAGAUGAUGGAUCUCGAGAUCCGAUCACCAAGCCUCUGGCCGGCCAUCUCGGGAAGAAGAUGACCACCACGUCCACCAGUGUCACCACGCCGGGAACGCGUCGCCGCCGGCACCCCCAUGGUGCCUAGAGGCCGACAAGCCCCGACGAUUCCCCUUGCCAGCCGCCAUGGCCCAGACCCCGACACCACCAGAUCUAGAUCGGAUCGGGGUCCAGGGCCCCAAGCCGCAACCGCCGCGGAGGCAGCACCACUGGACGGACCCGAGCCCUCCAGCCCGCCGCCGAGUCAUCGCCGGAGCUUCGCCGCGCCACGCCGCCAAGCCGCCGCCGGGAUAACUCGUGCCGCCACUAGAGAAGCCGCAGCCGCCGCGCGUUGGAGAGGCCUCAAGCCGCAGCAGCCCUGCCGCCAGGCAGGGGCACCGCCACCCAGCACGCCCUCCGCCGCGCCGCUGGGCCCCGCCCAGCCCAGCGCCGUCCCGCGCCGCGCUGUCCCGCGCCGGACGCCAACCGCGAGGAGAGGGGCAAGAUCCCCGCCGCCACCAACGCCGGCCGGUCUUUGCCCGGCGGCGCUGUGCGGUGGCGGCGGGGGGAGAAGUCGACGAGGGAGGACGAGGGGCGGCGGCUAGGGUUUCCCCCGAGGACGCUCGCGGGAGCGGCUCGGGGGGUCGGGGGGUCGGGGGGAUGGGUGGAAUUCAAACAUUAACUAACAUGCUUUGUUCUUUUCUCUACUAUGCCUUCUGUGUAGCGUUUGAGGUCCUUCUCUUAUCAUAAGCAGAGGUGAUGUGUUCUCUUUUAAUCUUCUACGUUCUGUUAGCAUCAGGAUACAUAUAUUCUUUAUAUUUUAAUGUCAUUCUAUUUUCACGUAUUUUUUUUAAUUCUCAUUCCCUUUUCAGUUACUAUCGGGACAUUUCCUGCCAAUAUUGCAUUGCAGUUUCAAGUUGAGAUAGAGGGCUAACUCUCUGUCCACUGAACUGUUAGAUUGCCUCACUAUUUUAUUUCCUUUUGAAACUUACCUUUCUUGCAAAUUGCUCUAAUAUUGUUAAUUUCUUGCUAAUUGUUGUCUAAUAUUUCCUUCACUAAAUGUAGUACAGGUUGAAUUACUUGGCAGUAAUAAUGUCACAACCAGAAUUGGUAUGCCUAUGUUCUUGACAUCAUGCACCUCUUCUCACACGUUGUUUCCUUUCCAGUUUUCAAUUGCCAACACUGUGCUAUUGUCAUCGACUGAAGAUAAGAAGUGGGUAUAAUGCAGGUGACUAAGAAGCAUUACACCUUCCAAGGCAAUCAUCGAUGCCUAUUUGAUCUGUUCUAUUUUUAUUGGGAAAUUUUACGGUGCAUUAUAAUACACCAGAGUACGCGUAUUAUAUGGGCGAUCUAACGGAUAAAAAUAACUAGGCCUUUUUGAGCCCAAGGGUAUUUUCGACCUAAAAUUUUUUGUAUCUUUAAUCGGCCCAAUUAAGUCCAGGGGUAUUUCCGUCCUAAAUUUUUUGAUUAAAUUAAUUGCAUUAAUAAAAAACUUCAUUAUAGAGGUCCAAUCAUCGUGCGUACUCUUUUGAAUUUCGGUUCGAGCGGUUCGUCCUCUCUCCUCCUCUCGAGCCCUAACCUCGGCGCCCUCGAUCGUCGCCGAUCGCCUCUGGCACCUUCGAUCGCCGCCGAUCGCCCCCGGCUCCCUCGAUCGCCGCCGAUCGCACUCGCCGUGUCACUCCUUCCUCCUGCUCCUACUCCCCCCUCCCCCUCCAUCGCAAGUCACCCCACUCGGGUCGCAGCGCCAGAUCUUCCGACGAGCCACUAAUCCCCUCCUUCCCCGAGCGGACGCCACCUUCCCCGACCCGAGAGGCCACAUCAUCCUCAUCGACGUGCAUCAACUUUUUCACACCGGAUCUUCGCUGUAAGUGCCUACCAUCUCAAAUCUUUUUUGGUCCCUUAUGCAUAUAGUACCAAUAGGUGUCGUAUUUGAUUAGGGUUUAGGAUAUGUCAUGUGAGGUUUAGGGUUUAUGGUUUCAGAAAGGUGUGACCAGAUUUCGAUUGAAAGGGAGUGUAAGUUGGAUUUAGCUAGGACAUAUUGAUGUAGUUAGUUAGGGUUUAUGGUUUCAGAAAGUUGUGACAAGAUUUUGAUUCAAAGGAAGUGUAACUCGGAUUUAGCUAGGACAUAUUUAAGGACUUAGUUAGGGUUGUGUGGCAUGAGAAAGUUGUCAGCAGAUUUGAAUUCAAAGAAAGUUAUUUUGGAUUUAGUUAGGAGAUGCUUUUGAAUUGAGUUUCGAGAUAUUUUGGAUUUAGUUAGGAGAUAAUUAUUUUUGUAUGGAGUUUGGAGUUAUUUUGGAUUUAGUUAGGAGAUAAUUUGGAUUUAGUUAGGUGAUAAUUUUGGAUUUAGUUAGGAGACAAUUUUGAAUGGAGUUUGGAGAUAAUUGAUCUAUCAGGGUGGAUCUAUCAGGGGACUUGAAGGAUUCGUGCACUUUGGAUUUAGUUAGGAGAUCAUCACUUACAGCAAGUACAAUCAAUUAAAUAUUUCUGGAUUUAGUCAGGGCAUAUUUUAUACUUACUUACAGCUUUUGAAGGACUGAGUUUGGUACAUGAAUCCGAUAUGAAAAAUUAAAUCCAUUAUUUAAGCAGAGUAGUGCAUAAUUAUUAUGUAUGCUAUCCAUCCGUAACAUUGACUAUCUGUUUUCGUUGGCGGCAUAACGACAUGGAUGAUAAAGGCAACGAUGGCGAAAACUUGGGUGAUACAGGCAAGGAUGACAGGGACAUGGGUGAUAGACAAAACGAAGGCAAAGGAAUGGAUGGUAUGUGCACGGAUGAUAAUGAUAAUGACGAUGCAGGAAAGGAUGGCAUAGACAUGGAUGAUGUACACAUGCAAGGUAAAGGAAUUGAUAAUAAAGGCAUGGCUGGUUCAGAUCUGAAUGAGUAUAUGGAAUACUUAGAGAUUGUGAACAAGACUUUCAGGACUGAGGAAGAAGCCUACAUGUUCUACGUAGGCUAUGCAAAAAAAAGGGUUUGGUGUUAGAAAGGAUGAUCUAAAGUACAGGGGUCCGGGUCUAAAACAAAAUGCAUACAGAAGGACAUACAAGUGCUGCAAACAAGGAUGGCGGGCCCUUAAGCACUUUAACAGAGCUGAAAGAAAAAGAACACCGAGGGGGUCUGUCUCGGUGUGGUGUCCCGCUCUUUUUCAGGUUGAGCUACAAGAUAGCAGUGGCCUCUGGUUCGUCAAGAAUUUUGUGGACAAGCAUAACCAUCUGUUUGUCCCUGCUGACCUGACUCCCUACUUAUCGGCUCAUCGUAGAAUGACUGACGCACAAAAGGCCGAUGUCAUCGAGUAUGCCGUCGGUGGACUUCAAACACAUCAGAUUAUGAAUGUAAUGGAGAAGAAUGUCGGAGGUCCCGACAAGCUUGGAUUUAUAGAUCGAGACCUAUACAACCAUGUUUCAAUCCAGAAGAAGCGCAAGAUAGAAGGUAGUGACACUAGAUAUUUGCUCACCUAUAUGAUUGCACAGAAAAAAGCAGACCCGAAAUUCUUUUUCAAAUACACAAAAGACAGCGAAGGCCAUUUGAGGAACAUAUUUUGGGCUGAUUUCACAAUCCCGGAUUGACUAUGUUGCCUUUGGUGGUGUCGUGGUGUUCGACAGUACAUAUCGGUCUAACAAGUACAGGCUUUCGUUUGUUCCAUUUGUUGGUCUGAACCAUCACCGCAACACAGUUUUGUUUGGGGUCGGUCUAGUGUCAGAUGAGAUAGUUGCAUCAUACCAGUGGCUUCUUCAUGUAUUUUUGGAGGCAAUGUCCCAGACAACACCCAUUUCAGCAAUCACCGAUGGGGACGGUGCAAUGGCUAAAUCAAUAGCUAUUGUCUGGACUGGAACAGAUCAUCGUUUGUGCACAUGGCAUAUUGAGGAGAAUAUGGUGAUGCACCUCCGCAAGAAUAAGCUUGAGGAAUUUAGGGAAUUCAUUUACCGUCGUUGGGAUGUUGAGAGUUUGAGAAAAGAUGGGAGGCUUAUAAGGUUUGGUUCAAAAUAAAACCAACGGGGAAGAGGUCGUCAUGGGUUAACAGGAUGUACGAGCUGCGACACAAAUGGGCUGCUGCGUACACAAAGGGUAUAUAUUUCCUAGGAAUGAUGAGUAAUCGGAGGAGUGAGUCUCUCAACUCAAGGCUUCAUGUGCACCUGAACAGGAAGAUGCAGCUUGUUGAUUUGUUGCAGCAUGUUGAGCACUAUGUAUCCAUAAUGCGUAAGAAUGAAGCAGCAUUAGACGCAGUAGCGACACAUACGAUACCCUUCACUAAGCUGAAUGCACACCCUCUGGAGAUUGCUGCCUCUUAUAUUUAUACAACUGUGACGUUUCCAUGGGUAAAGUGUCAGAUUGUCGAAGGAACAAAUUGGCAGGUCACAGACUGGGUAGCGUGUGAUGGUUUGGUCGUGUUUGGAGUUUUGUGCAAAGUCCCAUAUGAUAAAGACCCAUAUGUGGUAGGGAUGCUACAGAAUUGCAAGGUAAGGAAGGUAAGGAUGCUGAGGACUUGCAUGCAAAAAACUUGGAUGCUGAGGAUCCCAAUGACUUGGAAGGUAAGGAUGCUGAGGACUUGCAUGCAAAAAACUUGGAUGCUGAGGAUCCCAAUGACUUGGAAGGCAAGGAUGGUGUGGACUUGCAUGCAAAAACCCUGGAUGCUAAGGAUCCCAAUGACUUGGAAGGCAAGGAUGGUGUGGACUUGCAUGCAAAAAACCUGGAUGCUAAGGAUCCCAAUGACUUGGAAGGUAAGGAUAGUGAGGAGUUGGAUGCACAAGGCGUGGAUGCUAAGCCUAUGGAUUUUAUAUAUCACGUGACUUGUCUGUUUACAGGAGCAAGACUGGAUGAUGCAGCUUGUAAAUGUAAAAAGUUGGAGAGUCAGGAUUACCCAUGCGCACAUAUAUUCUGCGUUCUGGAUCAUCUUGGUGUACACACAUUUCCAAAAAAAUUGUGAAGAAAACAUGGACAAUGCAUGCCAAGCCAGUGUUCCCUUCUUCGAGGACUGCAAAUACUCAUGUAUGGUCUGAUCACAUGAAUAAGUAUCAUCAACUACGCAACAUGGCUAGUGACGCUUUAUUCACAGCCGCAGCUAGCGAUUCACAGUCAGAACAGGUGAUGGACCUCCUCCGGAGUAUAUUGGUUGAUGGAGAAAAAACUGAUUUGGAUGAAGGCCAUAAAUCGCUUGUUCCUUUGCCGGCAUACUUCUCUGCUGCUCGCGAAUGCUGCACUGAUGACGUGGAAAAUCCAAUCAAAAUAGUUCCAAAAGGGAGACCAACUAUCGAAGAAUCCAACAAGAGGAUUAAAUCCAAGCACGAGCAGAUGAGAGGGAAACAAGCAACGAAGAACAAAUCGGGAAAAUCAAAUGUCACAAGAAGGAAGAAGCAAAAAGAGAAAGACUUAGAGACAGAAGAAGACACAGAGUCAGAUACAGAAGACGAGGAAGAUUCAAGAAAAGCAACGAAGAUAAAAUCGGGGAAAUGAAAGGUCACAAGGAGGAAGAAGCAAAAACAAGAGACAGAGUCAGAUACAGAAGAAGAGACAGAGGCGGAUACAGAAGAAGAGACAGAGGCAGAUCAGAAGAAGAGGAAGAUUCAGGUACAGAAGAAGAGGAAGAUUCAGAUGCAGAAGAAGAGGGAGAGUCAGAUGCAGAAGAAGAGGAAGAUUCAGAUGCAGAAGUAGAGGAAGAUUCAGAUGCAAAAGAAGAGGAAGAUUCAGAUGUAGAAGAUGGUGGGCUGAGGAGGGCUAGGAAGAGACCAUUGGAGGUUGCAGAAGAGGAUUAUGCAAAACCAAACAAGUGGACAUUACCACAAUUGUGCGUACUUAAACAUGUUUUCGAAUGCUGGCUGCAGAUUCAUCUAUUUCAUUUUUUGCAGGAAACGCAAGGGCGCUCCAAAUGUCAAAGCUGGGAGGAAGAAAAAGAACGAUGACAAGGGUGCGUGAGGAAAACCAGUGAAGAAAGACUCUAGGAAGGGCGGUAAAGAACAGGCCAAAGGGGUGAUGAAGACAAAAAGGCCUGCUAGGAAUGUACCAAAGGCUGAGCGAAUAAGAUCUGUCAAGUUAGCUUCUGCUGCUAUGAAGAGAAAAUCAGUGAAGGAAGCUAAAGUGAAGUCGAGACAGGAUGUUUAGAUGCACAGGGUCAGGCAGAGAAAACAAAAGGAUUUCUGGGGUCGAAAAAUUGAGAACAAACUGAAUUAGAUAGUUUUCCAUGCCGUGAUCCACCUUGUUUCUGAUGUAUUAUACCUAUUUGAUGGACUGCCACUAUUUUUUUGAAUUCCUGGUCUGAUUGGUACACCCUCAUUUUAUUAUGGACGGGUCGACAUGGUAGCCUAGUUAUGAUUUAUCAACAUCGAUCAAACAAUGCAUUUUAGUGAAGUUGGUUAUCUGUAUUUUUUUCAUUUUUAUAUAUAUACGAAAAUAGAACGUUGGAUUUCCUCACAAACCUACUAAAUCAAAAUAGAAACCUCGUUUUCAAAUAACCUUGAAAAACGUUUAUUUUGAAAUAGAAAAUAAGCAUACUGAUAUUUUAAAAAUAGCAUGCUCAUUUGAAAAAAGCACCCCAACUGUCUGUCUCAGGCGCGGGCAGUGCUGGUGGCGGUGAGGUUGCGUUGGCCUCCACCCCAACUGCCAAUUGGCCAAUGCCUGUGCAAUGCCAGGCCACCUGGCAAGCUCAUCACACUCGGAGUCCUCUAUGACCCUCCUUGUGGUCUCCUCGAUGGUCACAAUGUAGGCCCUCUCGGCCUCCUAAUCGUCCCCCUUCACCACGACAAGCAGCGAUGCUGGAGCGGUGAGCGCACGCGGUGCACGGGGUGCACCCUUGAAGCACGACCAACAACACUGGUCGUGCUCGGUGGCGAACUGAUACGUCUCCAACGUAUCUAUAAUUUUUUAUGUUCCAUGCGAUUAUAUUAUCAACUUUGGAUGUCGACAUGGCUAGCGGGCGCCCGAGCGCCCAUUGGUGGGAACUAGCGCUCAUCCAAAUAUGGAAAGAGCAGCUAACGAGUACGACCGCAGUUCACAAAUAUGGAAAGAGCAGCUAACGCACAACCACGCCCGUCCUCCUCUCUGUCUCUACAUGAUGGCAUUUUCACUU